AGGGAAAGGACUAAAGGAAUGGAGGGUUGGAAGGGUUUCUAUUUUCUUUCAAUUUUCCUUUUGAUUUAAAUUAGGAAAUAUCCACAUGGGGCAAGAGCAAUUUGGGGAACAUUAGAAAGGGAUCCAGGCUCCAGUCCUGGGAGAUAACAGGGACAAGGAGGAAGAGCCCAGGGAAGUAGGAGAGGCUGGAAGAAGAGAUGGGGACACUAGUCCUCUGAGCCAGGAGCACCAUGGGCCCUCGGAACUGCAAAGGUUAGCACCUGGCACAGCUCUGUGUCACUGUGUCACCCCAGUGCCCACACCGCCAGCUCUUCACAGGUAGGAAGUACCAUCGGAUGCUUUUCUGUUGUGUCCUCCUGCCUUUCCCCCUGCCCAACUUAGUGCUAAGUGCAACUCUAAGAAAAGGUAAGCAUGUAAUUCUGAUUGAGCUGAGUUCAAUGCUGGCAUAUUUAUCAGAAAUUUGAUAGUUGGAAAUUGAGGUUGUUUGAUGUAAUUUAAAAAACUGUCUACAUCUAACUUGCUAAUUUUCAUUUUUUAGAUUUAAAGGUACAGUUGAGGAACUCAGUAACCAGAUUUUAUCUGCACGGAGUUGGUUGCAGCAGGAACAAGAACGGAUAGAAAAAGAACUUUUACAGAAAAUUGAUCAGCUUUCUUUGAUUGUUAAGGAAAACAGUGGAGCUAGUGAAAGGGACAUGGAGAAGAAGCUCAGCCAGAUGUCAGCCAGACUUGACAGAAUAGAAGAGAGUCAAAAGAAGACUAUGGAAGGGCAGAGAACGAAGCAAGAAGAGGAGAAGGUGCACGGGCGAAUCAGCAAGCUGGAGCUACAGAUGAGUGAGGACAUGAAGGAAAUGAAAGCAGAAGUUAAUGCGGGGUUUACAGCCAUCUAUGAAAGCAUAGGAUCCCUCAGGCAAGUUCUGGAGGCCAAGAUGAAGCUAGACAAGGACCAGCUACAGAAGCAAAUCCAACAGAUGCAGAAGCCAGAAGCUCCCAUGUGAAGGCAGUCGGGACAAGGACCUAAAAGAAGGCAUUGGCAGUGGGGCUGGGAGUUGACACCUCUGUAGCCAGGCCAUCGCUGUAUUCAGGAUUGUUCCAUCCAUGGCGUGCAUGUACCAAGAAAUGUGUUUUCAUGGGUCUAAAUGUUUACCUGGAGUCUUGAAAACACUCUUCUGUAAAAGUAUUAACUACCAUUUUUACCAGUUUAUUUCACUUCUCUAAAUUCACUGGAAUUCCUAUCCACCCCCUGUAUUUUGAAAGGCUUUUAUCUUCUUCAUUUUAUGAAUCAAAAGACCUAACCAUUUUUCUUCAAUGCUUGAUGCUCUAGCCAAGACUAUUUAUUUACUAUUUUGAAAAAUGUCAUGGUGAUUUUUUUUUAAAUUAAGAAAUGAAUGAGUUGUCACAGGAAUGUGUUGCUCCUCAUUCCAAAUUAAGAGAAUGUCCCCUUAGAUUAGAAUUCAGCCUUUGAGUCCACAUUUGGAUUUUAUUGUUGUUUGUGCAUUUCUUAUAUUGGUUAUUUCCUGUAAAUCUUCUGUCUUUUGUAGGGGGAAGGGAUUUAACACUGAAAAAAACUCCACCAUUUAUGUAGUGAAGAUAGUUAAAAAAUUGAUAACUGCCAUAUAGAUUGCAAAUUAAGUGGAAACUUAAGACAAUUGUCUAGAUAAUGCAAGGCACAAUAUGUACGUUGACCACCUAGGUAUACCGGGUUUUAAUAUUUAAAACUAUUUUUGAAUUAUCCACAGCCUGUAUAGUGAUAGCCAUAUAUUUAAUAACGAAAUGGUGGUUAACAGUCUGUUUAUUGCACAGUUAAUUGUUCAUUAAUCAUAAUAGAAUGUGAUAAUUUUUCAGACUUUAUGAUCUCUCUAAAUGUUUUUGAAAUUGGCACAAAGUGCUAGAGUUUAUAUACACUUAUUGUAACUGUAUUCUUGUGCCUUGGUUUUAUCAUGUCAAUGCACUGUACCUAUAAAAGUUUUGCGGACAAAAUAGAAGGCAUGAUAAUUCAGCAGAAUUAUGAUGUAAAAAUGGGAUCCUAUGUAUUUUUUAAAUGUUCUAAAAAUUUUAUCACUGUUAAGACAUUAAUCAUUCGGUAUUAUUAAUAGAAUAGGAAUUCAUACUUUUGUAUGGACAAAGAAUCAAAUUGAUAUUGCAUUUAUAACACUGUCAAAAAACUUUCAUCUUGAGCAACUCUGUAGAUGAUGGGUGUUUUAUUUUCAAUCGCCAGAUUUGAUUAGUCAUUGAAUAUUGGCACCAGUGUUGUUUGUUCAGCUAUGUACGUAAAGACUGAUAGUGAGACACACCAUUCUAAACUGUGAAGGUGUCCCAGGAAAAAGAACAGGAAAACUUAAAAAAAUUAAAAAAAAAAUAAAAACAAAAACAACUUUUUUUUUUUUUGUUUGCCAAGGACUCAGGUAAAUAAAAGCAUUUUCUAUUUUUAGGAUAAAUCAUAAAUGUAAUAUCUAACUGGCUAUUACUGUUUACCCAUAAAAAAAUAUGCUGCUAAAGUACAUAAUGUUUUACUCUCAAUGGCUUGACGAAAAAGUUUUUUUAAAUUUUGGACGUGAGAAGUUAUACAAGGAAUAUGUCAUCCAAUACAUACUUCCUUAUUUGUCACUAAUCUUUUUAUCUCUAUAUAAGACUAUUUCCACUUAAAGAAAAAAAAAAGGUUAAUGCUCUUUUGCAAUCAGAAAAUGAAUUUCUUUUUGUGAUAGAGUAAGCAGGUUCCAUGUAGUUCUCCACAUUUAAGUGCAAGCCACAGUGCAGAGAGCCACGCCCCCUCCAGCAUCUCUCUUCUCUAGGGGCUCCGAGGAGGAAGCAUCAGCACAUUUGACCUGAGAAGACGGUGACAGGGGACACCAGGUGGCCCAGGGGGUGAUGUAAGUGGGUGACACUCAGUUGUCAGCUGAAUUUCUCAGGUGCUUCUGAUGUGGCCAGCCUCAAGUUAAUGAGCUCCCGCAGGGGUUCUCCACCUUGGCUACGCGUUGGAAUCACCUGGGGGAGUUUAAAAAGCUACUGAUGCCCAUUUGCCCCCAGACCAAUUAAAUCAGAACCUCUGGGAGGCUGGACGCAGGCAUCAGUGCAUGUCAGAGGCCCCCAGGUGAUGGCGUGUGCAGCCGAGGGGGUGGCCACCGAGCUACAGUGUAGUGCUCUUCUCACCAAAGUUUCAAUGAGAAUCAGCCUCCGUGUUCUUUCCUUUACCAGAAAUUUGCAAUAAAAAGAAUAAAAUUUCCAAAUAAA